UACGGGGGGAGCAAGCGUUGUUCGGAUUUACUGGGCGUCAAGGGCGCGUAGGCGGUCAGCACAAGUCAGUUGUGAAAUCUCCGGGCUUAACUCGGAAAGGUCAACUGAUACUGUGCGACUAGAGUGCGGAAGGGGCAACUGGAAUUCUUGGUGUAGCGGUGAAAUGCGCAGAUAUCAGGAAGAACACCAAUGGCGAAAGCAGCUUUCUGGGACGGUACUGACGCUGAGACGCGAAAGCGUGGGGAGCGAACAGG
rnacentral:rRNA from 1 species